rnacentral:lncRNA from 1 species
AAUCAGAAUUCCUAUGAUCAUUUACACAUUUGUUCAGAAGCUGAGUGGGUAGUUUCCAAUGAGUGCAAUCAUUCUAAAAUAUGUAUUUUAGGCUUAAGCUUGAAAAUUCAGACUUACAAGCCACAACAAAACAUGAGGCAGAAGAAAUUGAACAGAAUCGGAGAACCCAAAGGCAAGCUGUCCCUGACAAGUAUAAAGAGCAAGUAAUGAAAAUGAAACAAAGUAUCAAAGAUAUGCAAAAAGAGAUACUGGGAAUGAAAUCUCGGGAGCAUUCUACUAAAGUAUCCCUGGAAAUGUAUAAGCAAUUCUAUAUAGCGGAACUGAAUGCUAGAGAAGUACUGAAAGAGGAACAUGCCAAUCUUUCCAGUACUAAUAAGAGGCUACAGCAUGAAAACUCAAGGCUUGCCUUUGAGAUUACGAAGUACAGACAUGUAUACAACCAUGAGGACAGAGAUUCCGCCACAACAGGAAUUUCUGAUGGAAAUCUUCAGAAUGAUUUUUGGACUCUACAGAACAGAAACACAUGUUGGAAGCCAUUAUUUCCAAACGAAAGCCUAGAAUCACCUCUUGGAGGCAAAACUUGCUGGGGUAAUUUAAUGUGAUAACAAAGAUGAGAUUGCUGUCAAUCAAGCUGAUCCCAUCAGUAAACCAUUUGACAUUCAGUUGGAUAACCUCUGAGAAAACAUCUAUUCCACUCACAUUGAUCCAUUAAGUAGGCAACCUCAAGAUUCAGGACGUCUUUGUGGAGAUGCCACUGAAGCUGUGAAUUUAAGGGAAAUCAUUGCAAAAAAAAAAAAAAUGACCAUAAAAAAAAAAAUCCCCCAUUGAGUCAGGGGAAGAAUAGAAGAAAGGAUAUGUGAAAGGUAGGGUUUUAGUGGGGGGUGGGUAGGGGAGGACGGGAGGGAGAAGGGAAUUGGGAUUGUCAUGUAAAACAAUCUU